rnacentral:rRNA from 1 species
UACGUAGGGGGCAAGCGUUGUCCGGAUUUAUUGGGCGUAAAGAGCGUGUAGGCGGCCAGACAGGUCCGUUGUGAAAACUCGAGGCUCAACCUCGAGACGCCGAUGGAAACCGUCUGGCUAGAGUCCGGAAGAGGAGAAUGGAAUUCCCGGUGUAGCGGUGAAAUGCGCAGAUAUCGGGAAGAACACCCGUGGCGAAGGCGGUUCUCUGGGACGGUACUGACGCUGAGACGCGAAAGCGUGGGGAGCGAACAGG